UCGAUGGUUUCCCUCUUCAGUCGCUGGGU
rnacentral:sRNA from 1 species